UAUUAAAAAUUAUAGUGUUAUAAAAAUAGUGUUUUUUAAACAAUUAAACAUGAAAACCUAUUCUACAACACCUCAAAAACAAUAUAAAGACUUCACAAAAGGACAUAAUAUGACCCCUCUCAACUGCUAAUGGUCAUUAACCAGUUUCCUUUGUCAUUUGAAGCUUUCCACUUGUUUUUCUCUCUUAUGUUUUGAAGGUAUUCCAGUCAUCUGAUGCACCCUGUGCUAUGUGUACCUCUGUAAAGGCAUCACCACCCUCUCGCCCUUCUCCACUCCCCUCAUCAUCAUCAUCAUCAGCUGCCCCUGUGAUGGGCACAUCAUCUUCAUCCUCCCCAUCAUCACCUGCCCCUUUGCCCUGUGAUGCAUCCACUUCUGUGAUCUCUCCAUCACAGGUGUCCCAGACACUCUCAAUAAGGGAGGUUCAUCAAUCCCUUCAAAAAGAAAAUGGGAGGACUCUGAGGUAAAAGCAGUUGAAAAACAAUAUGAUGAAGUUCAUAAAGACCUGCAAAGUUCCUGGUAAGCAAGACUGUGAGAGAUGCAUUGAAGCAGAGUCAGAAGCCUUAAAGGAACGAACAUGGACUGGUGUGAAAAAUUAUGUGCGGAACAGGAUCACAACUUUAAAAAAAAGAGGUGGAUUUUAGAGGCUACAUUGCCUUUUACUGUAAAGUGAAGAACAUGGUGAGGAAAAUGUUAAAAGCAUCAAUGCCAUUUACACCAUAUCAAACUUUAAUAACUUCUGUAAGGCCCUGUUAUACCCCGUUUUAACACUUUCCACACCAUGCUCAUCAUUUUAAAGAAAUUAGAUAAAAGUUUAAGUAGAAAGAUGUAUUAAGAGGAAGAAUUUCUUUGAGGAUGGAAGGAAACAAAAUGUUAACGAAGUAAACUAGACAGGAGAAGAGAGCGGAGUAAACGUAAUAUUGAAGUGAUGGAUUAUGAGAAAGGAUGAAGAGUCUAGAAAAAGACAUAAAAGUUUAAGUAGAAAGAUGUAUUAAGAGGAAGAAUUUCUUUGAGGAUGGAAGGAAACAAAAUGUUAACGAAGUAAACUAGACAGGAGAAGAGAGCGGAGUAAACGUAAUAUUGAAGUGAUGGAUUAUGAGGAAGGAUGAAGAGUCUAGAAAAAGACACUGCACUGACAAAUUUUUCAUUGUUUUUAUUGUUCAGUUCAUUUCAGCAUGUUGCCUUCGCUAUUUCAGAUGUGCACUUUCACAAUGUGUGAAUAUUGUUUAUUUGAUCAGUAAUCACAAUUGUUUAAUAUAGUCAGAAAAUCAUGUGGAUCAGCAAAAGUAAAGGGAUGGAAAAGAGGGAGGAGUGAAAGUAAGGGAGAAAGAGGAGGAGUGAAAGUAAGGGAGAAAGAAGGAGGAGUAGAAGUAAAGGAGUAGAAAGAGGAGGAGUAGAAGUAAGGGAGAAGAGGAGGAGUAGAAGUAAGGAGAGAAGAGGAGGGAGGAGUGAAAGUAAAGGGGAAGAAAAGAGGGAGGAGUGAAAGUAAAGGGAUGGAAAAGAGGGAGGAGUGAAAGUAAAGGGAUGGAAAAGAGGGAGGAGUGAAAGUAAAGGGAUAGGAAAAGAGGGAGGAGUGAAAGUAAAGGGAAGAAAGAGGAGGAGUGAAAGUAAAGGGAUGCAAAGAGGGAGGAUUGAAGAAAAGAGGGGAACAUGUGAGAAUUGAUGUAUAGAGGUAUUGGGAAGGAUUGUUGGGCAUCAUUUCCAAGUUCCUUGAGUUCUACAGUUCUACGUACUCACUCUGGUAGUUCAUUGUACUGAUCUGAAAAGGACACUUGAUCAGUAAUCACAAUUGUUUAAUAUAGUCAGAAAAUCUAUGUGGAUCAGUGAAAGUAAAGGGAUGGAAAAGAGGGAGGAGUGAAAGUAAAGGGAUGGAAAAGAGGGAGGAGUGAAAGUAAAGGGGAAGAAAAGAGGGAGGAGUGAAAGUAAAGGGAUGGAAAAGAGGGAGGAGUGAAAGUAAAGGGGAAGAAAAGAGGGAGGAGCGAAAGUAAAGGGAUGGAAAAGAGGGAGGAGUGAAAGUAAAAGGGGAAGAAAAGAGGGAGGAGUGAAAGUAAAAGGGGAAGAAAAGAGGGAGGAGUGAAAGUAAAAGGGGAAGAAAAGAGGGAGGAGUGAAAGUAAAAGGGGAAGAAAAGAGGGAGGAGUGAAAGUAAAAGGGGAAGAAAAGAAAUAUAGUCAGAAAAUCAUGUGGAUCAGCAAAGUAAAGGGAUGGAAAAGAGGGAGGAGUGAAAGUAAAGGGAAGAAAAGAGGGAGGAGUGAAAGUAAAGGGAAGAAAAGAGGGAGGAGUGAAAGUAAAUGGAUGGAAAAGAGGGAGGAGUGAAAGUAAAGGGGAAGAAAAGAGGGAGGAGUGAAAGUAAAGGGGAAGAAAAAGAGGGAGGAGUGAAAGUAAAGGGGAAGAAAAGAGGGAGGAGUGAAGGUUAAGGGAUGGAAAAGAUGGAGGAGUAAAAGUGAAGAGAUGCAAAAGAGGGAGGAAUGAAGGUGAAGGGGAAGAAAAGAGGGAAAGUGUGUGAGAAUUGAUGGAUAGAGGUAUUGGGAAGGAUUGUUGGGCAUCAUUUCCAAGUUCCUUGGUAUGUUUGCUUAACCCUCUGGAGUCUAAGGGUAUUUUUGGGGCCUGGAGAAGUUUUGUCAUGCCCUGACAUUUGUGCUUUUUUCAGUUUCUUAUAAAUAUCUAAAUGGCUAAAGUCUAAUCUCACUGUAAUCAGCACAAACUGGGCUAUAAUAAUAUGUGAGCAGCAUGUAUGUACAUGAUUGUGUUUUUGAGAAAAAAAUGUUAAUGCGUGGUUAGUGAAAAACUAAAAAUGUUAAAUCACUUGAAUAAGGCAAUAAAACACAUACAGAAAAAUUGUUUCCCGGGACUUUUGAGAACUGGAGCUUGUAGCCUAGAAUUUUUUUUUCAAAAUUGGGAAGGAUUGUUGGGCAUCAUUUCCAAGUUCCUUGAGUUCUACAGUUCUACGUACUCACUCUGGUGUUCAUUGUACUGAUCUGAAAAGGAACACAACUAGAAACACAAGUUGAAACACAACUAGAAGGCUACUAUAGUUCAACUCAAAAAUGCCUAAUGUGUUGGCUAGUUUUCAUUAUUUAGUUCUCAACUUAUUCCUAAUUAAGUGUUUUUUU
rnacentral:lncRNA from 1 species